AAAUCACGAAGUAAAACCUGAACAAGAAAAUGUAUACCCAAGAUCUCAUCCCCGUGCAAUGUUUAAGGUUUCCAUAAAGCAUUUGAAACCAAGUUGUAGUCAAAAUACUACCACAGCAGCCAGAAACUAGAAUCUUACUGCAAUCAACUUUUCAUCUAUGAAAUGAGCAAUAAGUACCAACACUAUAUUGCACGAAAAAGUAAAAGUAACAAUAUUAAUUCCGAACCUGAAAACCAUACCAACGCCAACCGAAGUCUGAUAACACGAAAUAAAUGGGACGAUGGGGACACCAACAAGAACCCACACUUAAAGAAGACAAACAACAUUAAUUCAGAAGUAACUUCACUACCUAUUGUUAACAGUAGCACCGUAUCAAUUAAGUAUAGAACUGGUCAAAUUUCAAACAUUUCUGAGCAGAAGCGGCGUAAUUUGAAGGCAUCAUCGGUCAGUCCUGCUAGGAGUAACAGGCAAAGCUCUCCCAGGAAAGUGAAUCAAGACGGAGACUUACUGAAUAGGAAGUCACGAUCAGUUCAACCUUCCAGUAAAACGGGGACAGGAAACUCUGGCCUCGGGCAAUCCUCAUCCUCUUCCAAUCAAAGGGUGAAUAAUUCACUAACUGAGAAGCUAAAUUUAUUUUAUUGUGUGGUAUUUAUUUAUAAUGGUCAUUUGGUGUACUAAGCCAUAUAGAAUUUAUUUUUUAGGGCUUUAACCCUCUAUGGCGUAGCGUUACAAAUACACAAGAACGUAUUGUUUAGGUUUUUAAAAAUUUAAUCUUCCUCUGGCAUGAUUUUGCAAAUUUUCAUUAAUUUUUUCUCUUUUUGAAUAAUUCCCUAAAAUUUGAGGUUCUAAAAAAAUUUGGUACUUAAUGUUUUUAUGCAAGCUACAAAAUAGAUAAGUGUCCUCUAGAAUCUGAGAUCCAAAAUUAAUUUAUGCCAUAACAUGAGUCAACCUGUGCCAAAUGCAACUACUGUACUUACAAACACACGGAAUUAAAGCUUUACAAUAAUAAUACAAUAGUCAUAAGAAGCUACAUAAUGAGCUAACAUAAUGAGCUACUAGGCAAGGUCUGAACAAGGAAAAAAGUCGUAUGCUUUUUGUUUAAAACCCUUGGUAGAAAACUAUUCACACACCAAGAAGUUUGGAAAUCAACUCCUAAAUGAUUCAUCAACAAGUAUUUUAACACAAAUCAAAUGAGAGGUAGAAUAUUUAAAUGCUGUCAUGUGUAUUUUUCCUCACCACUUGGCUACGCUUCCCGUUACCAUGCGUACUGCAAAGCGAUAUUCUAAUCGCUUUCAGUAUAAUUUUUGGAACAGUAUUAGUGUACUUGAAAAAAAAAAUCAUUUCCUUUUGCUCAGGGGAAGCAUUGCUUCCCUAGUAUACAUGCAGACAUUGCCACUGAGCAUUUUGUCGCUAUUGAGUGGUCUAUAUUCAAAGGGCAUACCAUAGCUUCUCUAACUUUGCAAGAUACCAACAGUACUUUUUAAAUAGUUCUGCUUUAAUAUAUUCAAUGGUUUACAGCUUUCAUGCACUGCUAAUUCAGCAUCCACCAAUGGUGAUGGACUCCGCCGAAUUUCACGGUCAUCCGUGCACCAACACUCACUUGACUCAUCACCAUCCCCAGUGCGCAGCAAUUCUUCCAGAAAUAGUCUCACCUCUACCAGUCAUAUUCCUCUAUCAACAGCCAAGAAAGAAUCAUUACAUGAUGCCUCACUGGAAAGCACUCAACUUCACCACCUCCCUGGUGCUUCAAUAAAGAAAAGAUCCCCUGUCCCUGUCAAAGGUACUUAUCUUUCUUGAAUUUUGCUCAGUAUAUUAUUACCUGAAAAACCUUCGAUAGGCGGUACUUUAAAGUUUUCUAAUUCAAGCUUAUUCUGCUUCUUGAAAUUCUGGUUUUAAUCACUUAUGUGUGCUUCUAUUUCUUUCUCUCCGCAUAUUUAUCUUUCCUCAUCAUUGCUAAUUAGAAAUCUUUAAAUUAAUCUAAUGUUACGAAUUUUGGAGAAAUACUAUGCAUUUUGAUGAAUUUCAAGGUUAUCACAGUCAGUGAAUACCGGUAAAUUUCAGG
rnacentral:lncRNA from 1 species